GGUUGUUGUGAAGCCGAUAUCAGGAUGUGUUCGCACUGCUUGUUCCCAGUUGUUGUGACAAGUCUGGAACAAGUUGUUAUCACCUUGUUGCAAGGUUGAUGACGAUAACAGACUUGUUACAAUUUGUUCCAACAAGACUAGUACAGGCUGUGUUCGUAACAAGUUGCUACGAGCUUGUUGCCAUCAACUUGUUAACAACUUGUGACGUGCAGACGAUACACACAUAAAAACGCACAAGUUGUU